GUGUUCAAGUGUUUAAGGGCCCACGGUGGAUGCCUUGGCACCAGUAGCCGAUUAAGGACGUGGGAGCCUGCGAUUAGCCUCGGGGAGUCGGCAACCAGGCUGUGAUCCGGGGAUUUCCGAAUGGGGGAACCUGGCACCCGUCAUGGGGUGUCGCCGCCGUCUGAAUGUAUAGGGCGGUUGGUGGGAACGCGGGGAAGUGAAACAUCUCAGUACCCGCAGGAAGAGAAAACAAUAGUGAUUCCGUGAGUAGUGGUGAGCGAAAGCGGAGGAGCCUAAACCGUGCACGUGUGAUAGCCGGCAGGUGUUGCGUGUGCGGGGUUGUGGGACCACCCUGACCUAGCUGCCGAUGGGUCGAAGAGUUAUAAAGUCUCGUGAUAGCCGAACGGCUUGGGAUGGCCGACCGUAGACGGUGAGAGUCCGGUAGGUGAAAUUGCGGGGCCUCUUGGGUGUGUUCCCCGAGUAGCACGGAGCCCGUGGAAUUCCCGUGUGAAUCUGCCACGACCACGUGGUAAGGCUGAAUACUUCCUGGUGACCGAUAGUGGACCAGUACCCGUGAGGGAAAGGUGAAAAGUGCCCCGGUGAGGGGUUGUGAAAAGAGUACCUGAAACCCGUGUGCCUACAAGCCGUCAGAGCCUUGGACCUUCUUCUUCGGAGGAGGGGAGACCCGUGAUGGCGUGCCUUUUAAAGAAUGAGCCUGCGAGUUACGGUGUGUGGCGAAGGUUAACCGGUGUCGGGUAGCCGUAGCGAAAGCGAGUCUGAAGAGGGCGUCAUAGUCGCAUGCUGUAGACCCGAAGCGGGGUGAUCUAGCCAUGGGCAGGGUGAAGCGCCGGUAAGACGGUGUGGAGGCCCGAACCCACCAGGGUUGAAAACCUGGGGGAUGACCUGUGGCUAGGGGUGAAAGGCCAAUCAAACUCCGUGAUAGCUGGUUCUCCCCGAAAUGCAUUUCGGUGCAGCGUCGCGUGUUUCUUGCCGGAGGUAGAGCUACUGGGUGGCUGAUGGGCCCGACAAGGUUACUGACGUCAGCCAAACUCCGAAUGCCGGUAAGUGAGAGCGCGGCAGUGAGACUGCGGGGGAUAAGCUUCGUAGUCGAGAGGGAAACAGCCCAGAUCAUCGGCUAAGGCCCCGAAGCGUGUGCUAAGUGGGAAAGGAUGUGGAGUUGCCGUGACAACCAGGAGGUUGGCUUAGAAGCAGCCAUCCUUGAAAGAGUGCGUAAUAGCUCACUGGU
rnacentral:rRNA from 1 species